rnacentral:snRNA from 38 species
AUACUUACCUUGUGAUGGCCAGGAUGCUCAUGAAUAUCCUCGGCCCUAAUGCGAGAGCUCCAUUGCACAUCGGGGACUCAAGCAUCGGCCAAUAUCCUUCGGGGUCUUGGAUCGCGGAAUUUUUGAUUGCACUCCCUUUGGGAACCC